rnacentral:lncRNA from 1 species
GGGUGACCCUCAGACUCAGCCAAAUGAAAAUAGUCAGGUGGAGGCUGGAGACCAAGAGGACUUUCACCGACUGAAGGAUGUGUCGGUGCCGAAGUAGAGGGAGCUCGUCACCGAGCAAGCUCUGUACGAUGCCGGCCUGAGUUUGGUUCCCUGUUUAGGUACAGUUCAGUCUGUCGGUCAUUUUUUAUCUUUUUAUCCGUCUUCGAUCUUAUGCUAAUCUUUUGUUAAAAUUACAGGCAUGCCGUCGAGAGUGAGAUUAACAGAUGCCGACA